UUUGAUGGAGUUCCUCCCUUCUCUCCUCACUAAGAACAAGAAUCAAAGAAAGCUUAAAGAGCGUGUAGCCGUCAACAAUGGCUUAGAAAUAACAUAAAUAGGGUUUUAAGUUGUCCAAGGGCAUUCUGGUAAUUUGGAGUUGCUUCUGGGCUUCAGCGGUCAUAAAAUAUGCUCAGCCCAUAUUCUGGCAUCACUGUCGACCGACACCAAUUCUCUUUCAUCGAUCGACAGUCCUUCAUCUCCUCGACAGCUUCC
rnacentral:lncRNA from 1 species